GCUAUAUUCCUCUCACAAAGGUGGAGGAGAAAUUACAUGUUGAGCAAAUAUCUAACUAUCACAGUUACUACAGAGGGGGACUUACUAACCCAAGGUCAAACCUGCCUGAUCACAACAGAAGAAAGUGCCACACAUGUGGUCAUACCCUUCAUUGUGACGUGAGUGCUCUGUGCCUUGGGAUUCCAGCUGAAGACCAACAUGCCCACAAGAAGUCUAACCCUCUCCUGGUCUUUCCAAGAAAGGCAUCUUGAAUGAAGGCCAGAAAUUAGAUGCCCUCUGACGGUUGCCUCUGAUAGGACAGAGGGCAAGCCACAAGAUUAUCAUCAGCAGAUGGAGGAAGAAAUGUUUGCAGAGGAAAUGGAACUGGGGAAGAAUUGCCCAAUUCUCUGCAGUCACUAAAUGCAGAAUACAGCAUUAUAAAGUGAAAGUUUUCAAAGGGAAUGCAGGGGACCUUGAGGCAAAUGGAAAAGGAGACUUACGAGGUUUGCCGCACCUUCCUGACAGGCACCCAGGACCCGACCCUGGAUCCAAGCAGGUGGGAAUUGGUGGAGGGUCAUGGGAUUGGACUGAGGAGCUAAAUGGGGUCCCACGACAGCUGCUCAGGGCUCAGGGAAACCUUUCGAGUCAGGACUGAGUGUUCUAGAGUGGUAGAAAUGUCUGUGAUUUUUCUAAUCAAGUUUUCAGGGAC
ensembl:lincRNA